CGGAGAACUUUUUGAGAUGUGAUGAAUGUUUGAGUCGACAAGAAGUUGAGCAAACAUUCUUUAUAGUCAAGCUUCUAAGAAGCCUGGUUAUAGUUCCACAUGUCAUACAAAAAGGAUAGAUGCAUUCACUGUUUCAUGUGACUUAUCAGCAGCUGAGGAUGAUGAUUUAACAGUCAUAAGUUAGAGCAUAAUUCCUGGGUGUGAAAAGGUAGUUGUUUCGUCAAUGUAUAUUAUCUAUUAAUAAUUUCACCAGCAAUGAAACUCAAAUGACUUGGACUUUCAGACCUAUUGUUCUUCUAUAAGGGGAAAUACUGUUGCUUGUCUAGUGUUAUACAUUGCUGAACAUCUCUUGGCGGUAGACCUGAAGAAGUUAAAAGCACCAUUAUGUGGAGAAUUCUACAUUAUUGAAUGCCUCAACCAACAUCAUGCGUCAGGCUGUGAACCUCCAGAGGAUUCAGUUCUAAAUUGAUGCAGAAAUAGAUCAAGUUUUGCAUCUCCGGGGAGAUAAAUGUAUGUAUGUACGCACUUGAGUAUUAUUUUAAUAUUGUAGCGUGAGUAUAAUGUUCUGAUGUUUCUCUCAUUUUUCGAUAUGAGAUUAGCCUAAAAUGUCAUGCAUAUUUGAAAGUUUACCACCCUAGAAGCCUGCAAGUUCUUAUCCGUAACCAACUCUUGUCACCCUCUUAUAUUUCCUGAGUGUUACAUUACAUAAACCCCGUUUAGGGACUCAACCUCUUCAUUGAGGUUUGCCUCACUAUUACACUGUUGGAGUCCGUUUUUGAUAACAUAUUGUCACAUCCCAAGAAGACCGUACAUAUUAUUUGCUUUUGCCCCUAU